rnacentral:lncRNA from 1 species
CCAGGAACACAUUUCAACUAAGGAUUGCAUAAGGAAGUAUCAAAAAUAUAAAUCUACUUGCUAUUACAAGUAUUCAUCUCACAUAUUACAUUUUUGCAUUCUUAGAUUAUAUCACAUUUGAUUCCUUGAUUCUUACUUCCAAAUACAAUUUAGUUUUAACAUAGUUAUUACAACAUUGUUCUUACAAUUAUCAUACUCUUGGUUCUUUGCAUUUUAUACCCCUAAGAAGUCGACUCAGGGUGCUGCUAUCUGGUCUCAGUGGUAGGGCGCUAACUACGGAGCUACGCCCUUGCCUCGCGCCGCCGCGCCGCUCACAUGUGAACCUAUAACACCCCAAAACAACGUGGGGUGAGAACCAACUCUAUGGUUCC